AAGUCUAUGAACAUUUUCUUAUCUCUAUAGCCAUAUAAAGAUAUAUAAAUGUAAUUAAAAAGGCAAUCAAUUAACAUGAAAUGCAAUUUUAAAGGGAAAAGCUAGGUCCAGACCUAGAAAUGAGUGGACCUAGCUUCAAAUCUGGCCUCAGACAUUUCCUAUCUGUGUGACCUUGGGCAAGUCACUUAACCCCCAUUGCCUAGCCCUUACUGCUCUUCUGCCUUGGAACCACUACAUAGUAUUGAUUCUAAGAUGGAAGGUAAGGGUUUAAAAGAAAAAUAAAUGCAAAUUUGAAAAUGCAUUUUAUUUUAAAGUUCAAAUCCAGAGCCCCUGCAAAGUUUUCACUUGAAUCUUUCCUCUUUAGGGUUUGCUGGCAGAGAAGGAAUGCCCUAUGGGAUUUAAUAAUAUGGAAACAUCCUGAACCUACAGGAAACACACAUGAAAUAGCUGGAUAUAACUUCUGUAAACAGAACACCUCCCUCUGGGUAAUCGACUCCAGUUGUGGUGACCCAUAAAUCCAGGAUGGAAAGGACUUCAUACCUGUAGCUUUCAAGUGUCAGACAGAUGAGAGGCAACCAGCAAGUAUAUGUUCCUUACCUACAAGUUUCCUUUGGCUCAAUGUAUGCAGCUGACAUAGGAGAAAUCAUGAGUAUUGGAGCCAAACUGAGGAAACUGGGGAAAUUGUGACUAUGUGGUGGUUCUAUGAAAAGCAAAAAUACUGAAGGGUUUGGGUUGACCAUUAUUUGGCUGGUAUAUAAUAAAGUGGAAGAAUUACUAAGAUAGCUAUAAACA
rnacentral:lncRNA from 1 species